AUGGCCUCCUCCGCCGACGAGUCCCUGCCUUCCCUACCGCCGAUCAAGACGGCGCCUUCGCCGCCCUCCGACGCCGCCUCGGCCUCUCCGUCGCCGGCGUCGUCCACGCAGGAGUCGGCGGCAGCGGAGGGCAAGACGACGGAGGCCGCAGCGGCGGCGGAGGAGAAGGACCCGUCGACGCCGACGUCCAAGGAGUGCCGGAUCCUGCUGCCCGAGGAGUGCCCAGCGGCGCCGCGCAAGCCGCCGGUGCCCCGGCUCCCGGCGCUGAAGCGGAAGUCGCGGCCGACGCUGACGGCGGCGACGACGGCGCGGGUGUGCCUCGCCGUCCCGCGGGACCUCUCCACCGUGUUCCGGUCGAUGCCCAUGCCCGUGCCCGCCGAGAAGCGGAUCCGGGCGUCGUGA
rnacentral:rRNA from 1 species